rnacentral:rRNA from 1 species
GGCUCACCUAGGCGACGAUCCCUAGCUGGUCUGAGAGGAUGACCAGCCACACUGGAACUGAGACACGGUCCAGACUCCUACGGGAGGCAGCAGUGGGGAAUAUUGCACAAUGGGCGCAAGCCUGAUGCAGCCAUGCCGCGUGUGUGAAGAAGGCCUUCGGGUUGUAAAGCACUUUCAGCGGGGAGGAAGGCGAUAAGGUUAAUAACCUUGUCGAUUGACGUUACCCGCAGAAGAAGCACCGGCUAACUCCGUGCCAGCAGCCGCGGUAAUACGGAGGGUGCAAGCGUUAAUCGGAAUUACUGGGCGUAAAGCGCACGCAGGCGGUCUGUCAAGUCGGAUGUGAAAUCCCCGGGCUCAACCUGGGAACUGCAUUCGAAACUGGCAGGCUAGAGUCUUGUAGAGGGGGGUAGAAUUCCAGGUGUAGCGGUGAAAUGCGUAGAGAUCUGGAGGAAUACCGGUGGCGAAGGCGGCCCCCUGGACAAAGACUGACGCUCAGGUGCGAAAGCGUGGGGAGCAAACAGGAUUAGAUACCCUGGUAGUCCACGCCGUAAACGAUGUCGAUUUGGAGGUUGUGCCCUUGAGGCGUGGCUUCCGGAGCUAACGCGUUAAAUCGACCGCCUGGGGAGUACGGCCGCAAGGUUAAAACUCAAAUGAAUUGACGGGGGCCCGCACAAGCGGUGGAGCAUGUGGUUUAAUUCGAUGCAACGCGAAGAACCUUACCUGGUCUUGACAUCCACAGAACUUUCCAGAGAUGGAUUGGUGCCUUCGGGAACUGUGAGACAGGUGCUGCAUGGCUGUCGUCAGCUCGUGUUGUGAAAUGUUGGGUUAAGUCCCGCAACGAGCGCAACCCUUAUCCUUUGUUGCCAGCGGUCCGGCCGGGAACUCAAAGGAGACUGCCAGUGAUAAACUGGAGGAAGGUGGGGAUGACGUCAAGUCAUCAUGGCCCUUACGACCAGGGCUACACACGUGCUACAAUGGCAUAUACAAAGAGAAGCGACCUCGCGAGAGCAAGCGGACCUCAUAAAGUAUGUCGUAGUCCGGAUUGGAGUCUGCAACUCGACUCCAUGAAGUCGGAAUCGCUAGUAAUCGUAGAUCAGAAUGCUACGGUGAAUACGUUCCCGGGCCUUGUACACACCGCCCGUCACACCAUGGGAGUGGGUUGCAAAAGAAGUAGGUAGCUUAACCUUCGGGAGGGCGCUUACCACUUUGUGAUUCAUGACUGGGGUGAAGUCGUAACAAGGUAACCGUAGGGGAACCUGCGGUUGGAUCACCUCCUUACCUUAAAGAA